rnacentral:rRNA from 1 species
GAUGAACGCUGGCGGCGUGCCUAAUACAUGCAAGUCGAGCGAACGGACGAGAAGCUUGCUUCUCUGAUGUUAGCGGCGGACGGGUGAGUAACACGUGGAUAACCUACCUAUAAGACUGGGAUAACUUCGGGAAACCGGAACUAAUACCGGAUGAUAUUUUGAACCGCAUGGUUCAAAAGUGAAAGACGGUCUUGCUGUCACUUAUAGAUGGAUCCGCGCUGCAUUAGCUAGUUGGUAAGGUAACGGCUUACCAAGGCAACGAUGCAUAGCCGACCUGAGAGGGUGAUCGGCCACACGGGAACUGAGACACGGUCCAGACUCCUACGGGAGGCAGCAGUAGGGAAUCUUCCGCAAUGGGCGAAAGCCUGACGGAGCAACGCCGCGUGAGUGAUGAAGGUCUUCGGAUCGUAAAACUCUGUUAUUAGGGAAGAACAUAUGUGUAAGUAACUGUGCACAUCUUGACGGUACCUAAUCAGAAAGCCACGGCUAACUACGUG